UGGGGAAUUUUGGACAAUGGGGGAAACCCUGAUCCAGCCAUCCCGCGUGUGCGAUGAAGGCCUUCGGGUUGUAAAGCACUUUUGGCAGGAAAGAAACGUCAUGGGUUAAUACCCCGUGAAACUGACGGUACCUGCAGAAUAAGCACCGGCUAACUACGUGCCAGCAGCCGCGGUAAUACGUAGGGUGCAAGCGUUAAUCGGAAUUACUGGGCGUAAAGCGUGCGCAGGCGGUUCGGAAAGAAAGAUGUGAAAUCCCAGAGCUCAACUUUGGAACUGCAUUUUUAACUACCGGGCUAGAGUGUGUCAGAGGGAGGUGGAAUUCCGCGUGUAGCAGUGAAAUGCGUAGAUAUGCGGAGGAACACCGAUGGCGAAGGCAGCCUCCUGGGAUAACACUGACGCUCUUGCACGAAAGCGUGGGGAGCAAACAGG
rnacentral:rRNA from 1 species